CGCCGUGACUCCCUGCCGAGUCCGAGAGGGAGACAGCAGCCCCAUCCCGCUGCUUCCCCGUACUCUGGGGGUGACAUUCCCUCUCUUUCCUGAGCCGGGGCAGGAGCUGCUAUGGGUUUUGGGCCUCCUCGUUAUGCAGCGACACCUGUGCCUGGACGCAGUGCCUGCCACCUUUGCCUGACCGCUGCCAGAACAAUGUUAAUGGAUACAUGAACAUACAAACAUGGCUGCUAGUCUCCAGCUGGGUUUUAUGGCGUGGGCUCCCCGGACAGCACUGCUCCCGACACCACUCAGAGGCAAUGCGGAGUGCAGGCCGAGGCUCCCUGCGGCUGAGCCAGGCUUGAAUUCAGCCCUCUACCUGUUACCUGGGUGAUCCUGAAUCAGGGCACCAACCAUCCUGGUUUGCCCAGCGCCGAGGGCUUCCCAGGUCACAGGACUUUGGUGCUAAAACUGGGACAUUGGUCCCCACCAUGAAGCCAGCGCCUCAGGUCUCUGUUCCACGUUAUUUAUUAUUUUUAGAAUUGGACUCUUCAUGGUACCCACCUCCUAGAAUUGAAGUCAGGCCAGAAAAGAAGAAUUUUUGUAGAAUAACACUCAGCAGGCGUCACAGGGGACCUGUGGGUUGUGCUCCUCUGGGCGUCUCUGCUGCCGGGUGUGCACUGACUCACUCACCUGGGCAGGUGUUGGAGUCUGCAGCCAGGGUCCCAACAGAGACCGCCAGGGACAAGCAAGCUCUUGACAAGGCGGAGGCCCUGCCUCUCCUGAGCAACUGAGGAACCAAUCAGGGAACCGCAGAGGCGAGGACCCCAGAGCCUGCCCCUGCCCUCAGACACAAGUCUUCACUCUGGGCUGUUUUGAAGUCUAUCCGAGAACUGUGCUAAGUCCAGGUGUGCCCCCUGGAACAGCAACGGGCCAUGCCAGCCCAAGAGCUGGAGUGAUUCAUGAUGGCGUAACUGCGUGGCGCAGUCAGGGUCCCGGGAACACCAGGCCUGCACCCACCUGCCCUGCUGAUCGCAGGCUGACUGACCCUUUCCCGUCCCCGCCACUCCCCACCACCUGCAGGGGCUGCCAUGUCUGGGAGAGAAGAAAUGAGGCCAGGAACACCUCUGGACAGAGUAUCGAGGAACUGGGUCAUGUGGAAGGGUGCCCCGGUGCCACGGCAAGAGGCUGAAGGCACAGUCUGUGCCAGUGUCAUAAACAACCGAUUACUCGGUUACAGCAACGAGACCAAACAGAUUUGGAAACAAUCACAUAACUCUAUAAUCUUAUUAAAUCAUAUUCUUGAUUGAUCUUUGCUUUAUUAUUAUAGCAUAGAAUCAUUUUAGUCUCACAGUAUAGGCA